rnacentral:rRNA from 1 species
UACGGGGGGGGCAAGCGUUGUUCGGAAUUACUGGGCGUAAAGGGCUCGUAGGUGGCCAACUAAGUCAGACGUGAAAUCCCUCGGCUUAACCGGGGAACUGCGUCUGAUACUGGAUGGCUUGAGUUUGGGAGAGGGACGCGGAAUUCCAGGUGUAGCGGUGAAAUGCGUAGAUAUCUGGAGGAACACCAAUGGCGAAGGCAGCUCGCUGGGACGUGACUGACGCUGAGACGCGAAAGCGUGGGGAGCAAACAGG